UCAAUAAUUUCAUUGGAUUUUCAAUCAUCGAAAAUGAAUUUAGAAAUAUCUUGUCAAUACAUUGUCACUUUUGUUUACCAUCUAGCACACAUAAAAUUUUUAGUAUGUACUAUGAUUAGAGUCUCACAAUCAUACAAUCAGUUCAUGGGAAUGACAGUCAUUCACCAAUGGGAUCAAAUUUGGUGACACUGGAUUUGUGACAUUAGUCAGCAGAUAUCCAAUCUGAAAGAAAAACACAGGUAAAUUAAAAUAUCAACUGAAUUCAAUGCAAUACAGGAUAAAUACCAAGAAUAGUUAUGAACCAACUAAACUCAUAACAUACAUGUGCAGACAUUUACUAUAAGUUAUUUAGAUAUUCAAGAAAAAAAAACAAUGACAAAAAUUCUAAAAUUACACACUUCAAAUAUAGCUUGCGACUUGUCAAGAGUUUAUCUCAUCUCAAAUCCUAAGAAAGACAAAUGAAGUGUUGAUAGUCAGAACAACUAAUAGGGGGAGUAUAGGUGGACGGUAGUUUUUUUUUGCAGAAUAAAGGGGUAAUUUGUCCUCACUUCCUGUUCUUGACAAGUACACUGUCUUUCUUAAUGUCAUACUAACUAAAAAACUAAGAAAAAAGAACAACAAAGAAUGCCUCAUUGGCCUUCAUUGGUCAUAGAUUGAGAAAUGCACACAAUAUCAAAGACAUGGCAGGAAUAAAUCAAAUAGUGCUAUGUGAUCAAUCAAAUAGUUGCACAACACAGAAGUGAGAGAUGUACCCUUCUUACAAAAAUAUAAGAAACAUUAUAGUACCAAAUAUUAACUACAUUCAACUUAUGACCAAAACUUGUACAUUAUUUUUUACCUGUUAUUUUCAAAUCAGAAUCCCAAUUUCAUUUUAAUAAUUUCUUUGAUCCUUUAAUGCACACAUUUGGUUUAGAAUUUAGUGAAUGUAUCUUUGUUUUUUCUCUACUUAUUUAACUAUGGUGUGAAUGAUGAUGAUAAACAAAUCUUGAAUUAAAGAAAAUUCUGUGAAUAAGAGUGAGUAGGCAGGCAUGACACCACAAAAGGGUUCUAACAAGAAAAAGGGAAGUUUUGUCAUCCAUUUUAGGGUGUGUAGGUGAAUGAAAGAAGAUAGCAGUGGAGCAAAACUUAUUGCAACAAUAUCAACAAUUGGGUUUAGAAAAAGAAAAAUAAAUGCUUGAACUGACUAUGCUUUUAAAUUUAAAUUUACCUCAUUUUUUAGGACAUUCCUGUCAAUGCUUUUAUCUGUCACUUAAAUGAAUGAUUAAUGUAAAUGAAGCAACAAUGUUACAUUUCUGAGGCAAGCAAACAGUGGCUGCAGUAACUUCCUCCACAUGGAAGGGCAAUGUGACUCCAGGAAGCUAUAGGUGGCCACAUGUUUGUUCAUAUUUUCAAAAUCAUAUGAAAUACAAUGAUGUGACACUCAAUCAAAUGCUAAAACUAUUUGCUCAAGGUGUUUGAUUCCAAUAAAGCAAUUGUAAACAAGAAAGCAAAUUGAAAGAAGAAACUAUGAAAACAAAUAGAUGGAAUCAUCAUCAACUAUAAUAAAGAAUAUAAAAAAAAUCUGAUUACCUAAUCAACUUUAAUUCGUCCCAUCAAAAUGAAGCUUUGGUUUCCGUUCUCUUUUUCCAAUCUGUUUCUUUUGAACACCACUGAUUUCAAUACUUGUGUUAGAUGGAGUUCAUUAACAAAACAAUAAUGAAACAAAAUAAACAUAUAAAACUAUGAUCUUAUAAUAAAUUACACUAAUAAUCUUUCUUCUACUGUACUGAAAUGUAGUUUUCCUCUUAGUCUGGCUGCUCUAUUGAAAUAAAGUUCUAUUGCCCGAUUCAAAUAUCAUAAUUAAGUCAAUCAAUAUUAAAUUACUUAAAAUAUUAUUCCAAACCAUUUAAAUACCUAGUAGAUGUUCUAGGUGCUACCACCCAAUUUUUGUCCAUGCUUAUGUUGUCUUGAAGCUAAAAAUGAAAUACCUGAUAAAAAAAAUGAAAAAUUAUCUAUUAAUAACAAAAUUAUCUAUGAACUUUGGAAUUAAAGGUGAGUAACUAUUCAACAAUUUAAAUUCUAAGAAUAAAAAAAGAUCAAAACUUGAAUACAAGAUACAACCAACAUGAUGUGAAAUAACAAUGAAGCAUUGAAAGUAGGAAAAAUGGUACCUCGGUAGAGGAUAAGGAAGAUAAAAAUUAGCCUGUCUUUUACUCAAUCCAAUUAAACCAUUCAAUCUAUUUUUGAGAAUUAAGUAAAGUUUUGAGAUUCAUGAAAGGCGUUUUACAUUUUUUUCCAAUUCUUUUAUUUUUGUAAACAUGUUUCAAAAAUUAGAAAAUAUAAGAUAUAAUAUUUUAAACUUUAAUAUUUAAAAUUCAGUAUACGUAAAUUAUGAUGACACAAUAUUCCAUUUCCAUAUAUAAUCAUGUUAGGUCGAGUUAGAAUAGUUAAAAAGAUCAUAAUAUAUCAACAUGUUUUUAUAAAGAUGAAUGAUUACAUAUCCUUGUUGAAACAGAGGAAAUACUUUGAAAGCCUAUUACUGGGGUCGGCCUUAGAUGCAAUUUUCAUGCUAAGUUUCUAGCACUUCUACAUAUUUUAGACUUUGAAAAAAAAACACUUUUUCACAAAAGGUAUCAUGCAUGUGCCUUUUUUUAUUCAUUCAACAGGUUUUGCCAAUUUAUUUACUCCAUAAAAAUCAUUUUCAUUUUAUAUUUAAAACUGUUUCUCAUAUUUCACGCACAUCUAAUCCUUUUUUUUUGUCAAUACCGUUAAAAUUUGCUCAAUUACAUAUAAAGAAUUAGAUUUGGAUUCACUUCAUGGUAGUUAUGAAUUGAUGUUAAAUUAAACUUCACGUGAUUAUAAUAAUGUAACAUGUUGUUACCAAAUUAUAUUAUUUAGUUACAUCAAGUGUGUUGUACCUAAUUGUAUUAUAUAUGACUUUUAUAUACCGUAACACUCUUAUUUUCAUCCUUUUAUGUUGUUAUCUUCUUCUCUAAUUUCUUUCAUCACUUCACACUCUCUUUAUACGUACCAAUUACACGUUUGCAAUAAUAUUACUAUAUUUUUUUAGUCUAUGAUUUGUCACAGAAUCACUAAAAUUGAGUUGAAUUUGUCAAAUUAAUUUAUGAGUAUAGACAUACUGGUAACUGUUAGGCAUGCAUAGUUGAUAAAACCCCUUGAAUUUUUUUUAAAAAGUUUGGUUCCUCUACUUAUUCUGAAUGAUAUGUAUCCAAUAUUGUGGUAUGGUUGAGCUCUAUGACAAAGUUAAAAUUCAGUUCCAUGGUUAUCAAAAUUGUACACACAGCGAUAAAGGUUCCCCUCUCUUGAUUACACCAUCCACCGAAUCUAAAUAACCAUGUUACUUAGAAUUCCAUGGAGUGGUUUUUGCCAAUGUUUCAGAAACUAUUUCUAUCAGUACUGGACAUGCCACUGGUUUCGGUACUAGCUAUCUAGGGUAGACUUUAAUUUGCUAAACACAACACUGACUAUAGGCACUGCAGCGAGAAAUUAAUUGAGUCCUGUUGUAUACCAGCUAGCUAGGCUCAUUAUUUCACAUGCAUAACUCUCUUAUUUGCUAUGCUAUCCUUAAAUCCAACAUGUUACAUAUUCUCUUUCAUUAACAACAUUAUUUCUAGUUUUCCACGAAGACAUCCUAAUAUUGAAAAUCAUUGAAAAGGCAGGGAAAACAUGGAGAAAGAGAUUAUAAAUAGCAGCUGGAACAGUGAUGUUCCGAGACAUACCUUCAGUUGUAGUCUUAAAUAGAGAUCCACAGUUAUCAUUUGAGCAAGAGCUAGAAAUGGAGCAGGGUUAACUGCAUCAAGAAAUAAAUAAAAAGCAAAUCAACAAAAUCUCCAAUUACUACUAGAAGAAAGGAUCUAUCAAAUAAAAAUAAUUAAUAUUAUCAUAUCACUGCCAAAUUAGAAUCAACACGUCUUGUACCAAAUCAAGGAGAUAAUCACUAUUUAUUAGCAUUUUAAUACUGAAAUCAAACACAAAUUAAUCAUAAAAAAUGAGAUCGCAAUAAUCACCUACUAAAAAAACACUAAUCCUAGGUUCAAAUGUGAGAAAUAAAAAUUGUAAAUGAAAACAAUAACAAAUUGAAGCGUUUGAACAAUAGAGGAAAUCUUACCUCCGAGAGAAUAGAAUGAGACAACGCACAUAGCAGUGACACACACGCACGUAGCAGUAGCAACGACACACACACGCACGUAGAAGUAGUCGUUUGACCGAGCGAACAAGCAGGACGUAGAUGAAGCACGGAGAACAGAGUGAAACCCUGAAGAAAAGGAAGGGCACUGUGAGAGUGAGGAAGAGGAACGACGAGACUGAGAAAGUGACGAAGAGGAAUGUGAGAGAUUGAGAUUGAGAGGGAGGAAGAGGAACGUGAGAGACUUAGAUUGAGAUUGAGACUGAGAUUGAGAGAGUAAACAGUGAGGGCAAAACAGUGAGAAUUAGUGACUUCGAAAGAGUAACUUCGAAAAAACACUAUUGAG
rnacentral:lncRNA from 1 species